AUUACCACAAUAAGUUUAGUUGACAUCCAAGUUGAAAUGAUACAGAGAAGAUUAGUAUGGCCCCUGCUCAAGGAUGACAUACAAAUUCAUGAAGCAUUCCUAUUUUUU